AGAGAGAGAGUGAGAGAAAUCCCCGAAAGAGAGAGAUCCUGCCUAUGGUUUGGAAGGAAAAUUUUCCAUGGCACCUGAAAUAACUUCAACAGGAAAAGGCACCUCAGCAAAUGGCAAAGGGAAGCAAAAAGGUUCUUCUUCUCACACAAUUGGACAGGGCUUUCCAAUUUCCAAGGUGCCCUUCACACAUAUUAUCCUGUUUAAUUCUCACUACAACCAGACCUGAUAGAUAGUAUUUAACUUAUUUUAUAGAUGAUGAUACUUGAGCUCAGAGAGGUGAUGAAAUUGCCUAAGGUUGAAAACUGGUAGAGGCAUUCUAGGGUCUUCUGAGUCUUAAUCUGAUGCCAUUUUAUUAUUCUUCAUAGGUUCUCAGAAAAAAUAUCCUGUUCAGAACCCCUGACCCAAGGCUUCCUCUAUUCUUGAUCCUCUCUCAUCUCCAUACCCAACUCCCUCACUAUGAGAUUUUCAUUGUAUAGUCUGUGGAAUCUAUAGUCAUGUGCAAUUUGAAAAUGUUCCCUCUAUCCUGCCAGCAAUUAAGGAGCAUUGCUGAGUUCCAAUGGCAGUGGCAAAAACUCUCCUUAACUUUCCAUUACCCACUAUUUGUUUCUAUCUCCCUCAUUCCCUUGUAAGCCAAGUUUACCCACAGGCUGGGUAAACAUCUCCCCUGUCUUUAGGUCUUCACCCCUUUUUGCAUCUCUUCACAAAGCACUUUGCUUUCAUUUCAACUUCGCCAUGAAACUGCUCUAGGGCGGUAAUGACCAAGUAAUCUGUGCUUUCCUUUCCCUGCAGUUGGGCCCCACUGACCAUCCUUCCCUCCAUGACACUCUUGUUUGUCUUGUCUCAUGCUGUUCUAUGUCAGAUUCCCUCUUUCAUUUAUGGCUGCUUCAGCUCAGACUUACCUUUUUUUUUUUACAUUUAAACAUUAGUGUUCCUGAAGAGGGUCUCUGUGGUCUUCUUCUCUUCUCAACUGCACAUACUUUUCUUGUAUAAAUGUAAACCCUUGACUUGGAUAGUCCUCUGUAAGCUGGUCAUCAGGUUAUCAUCUCCAGACCAAGCAACUCACCUGAACUCAGCCCCAGGUUUCUGGCUGCCUGACAACAUCUCCUUGGGAUGAUCCACAGCACCCCCAACUCAAUACACCCCAAGUUGAACUCAUCAUCACCCCCAAACCUGCUCCUCCUUCUACAUCUCUUCUCCCUCCUGCCUUUACUGCCAACUGCUCUUUAAGUUCUUUCAGUUUGCUUUCCUGAUUCCCUGGUACCCACCCUCUUUUGCUAUCUCCUUACUGCUUCUCUCUUGGUGUAUUUCCCCAGGGGCUCUUCUAAUACCCCAGCUGCUCUCUUCCUUCUCAGAUGGGCUCUGCUCAUAAUACAUUCUCUGUACUACUUCCAAUUGAUCUAUAGAAAGUACAAAUAUGAUUGCUUUGCUUGCCUCUGUAAAAGUCUCUAGUGGAGUUCAUCUUCCUAACUUGGCCUUCAAGGCUUCUGAUGAUCUGGGUCUUGCAUCUCCCCAGCUUCCUCUCUUGAAAUUCUCCCACUUCCCACUCUGUGUGCUAGGUCAUAGAAUACCCCAUAGUUCUGUGAUGCCUCUCGGCUUUCAUACAAAGUUUCUGCCUCCUGGAAUGUUCAGUUCUACUUUCUUCACUUGGCCAACUCCUUCACCUUCAAGACUAUGCUCCCAAGACUCCUGCUUUGGCGGUAGAUUCUGGAGCACUCAACUGUUGCUAGUUGAAUGAAUGCUGAGAAAGCUGCCCGCCACAGAAGGAACAAUGAGGAUGGUUUGGCCAAAGCGCACGACACAGGUCUGAGUCUCGGUGGAGUGGGAAGCUCGAGAGCUGGUUUCACACAGCAUCUUUUUGAGCGACAGGAUGUGG